GGCGCUAUAGCCAAGUGGUUACGGCGACAGAUUCGAAUAAAGUGGAGGUCCCCCCGAGCUCCUUGAUUCCAUCUGUUCCUCUUUGAGGGCGCAGGUUCAAAUCCUGCUGGCGUCG